UUGCUUUGCUCGUACAUAUAUACUAAAAUUGAAAUGAUAUAAAGAAGAUUAGCAGGGCCCCUGUGCAAGGAUGACAUGCAAAUUCAUGAAGCAUUCCAUAUUUUU